UACGGAGGAAGCAAGCGUUAUCCGGAAUUACUGGGCGUAAAGAGUUGCGUAGGUGGCAUUGUAUGUCGAUAGUGAAAGCGUGUGGCUCAACCAUAUACACAUUAUCGAAACUGCAAGGCUUGAGGACGAGAGAGGUUAUUGGAAUUCCCAGUGUAGGAGUGAAAUCCGUAGAUAUUGGGAGGAACACCGAUGGCGUAGGCAGAUAACUGGCUCGUUCCUGACACUAAGGCACGAAAGCGUGGGGAGCAAACGGG
rnacentral:rRNA from 1 species